GGGAAUUAGCUCAGUUGGUAGAGCGACAGGUUCGCAAUCUGUAGGUCACCGGUUCGACUCCGGCAUUCUCC
rnacentral:tRNA from 1 species